GCCCCUAUAGCUCAGUGGUUAGAGCACUGGUCUCGUAAACCAGGGGUCGUGAGUUCGAUUCUCAUUGGGGGCA
rnacentral:tRNA from 1 species